rnacentral:tRNA from 1 species
GCCGGGAUGGCGGAAUAGGCAGACGCAGAGGACUUAAAAUCCUCCGGCCAGGAAUGGUCGUACCGGUUCAAGUCCGGUUCCCGGCACCA